rnacentral:rRNA from 1 species
GACGAACGCUGGCGGCGUGCUUAACACAUGCAAGUCGAACGGAAAGGCCCUGCUUUUGUGGGGUGCUCGAGUGGCGAACGGGUGAGUAACACGUGAGUAACCUGCCCUUGACUUUGGGAUAACUUCAGGAAACUGGGGCUAAUACCGGAUAGGAGCUCCUGCUGCAUGGUGGGGGUUGGAAAGUUUCGGCGGUUGGGGAUGGACUCGCGGCUUAUCAGCUUGUUGGUGGGGUAGUGGCUUACCAAGGCUUUGACGGGUAGCCGGCCUGAGAGGGUGACCGGCCACAUUGGGACUGAGAUACGGCCCAGACUCCUACGGGAGGCAGCAGUGGGGAAUAUUGCACAAUGGGCGGAAGCCUGAUGCAGCAACGCCGCGUGCGGGAUGACGGCCUUCGGGUUGUAAACCGCUUUCGCCUGUGACAGCGUGAGUGACGGUAAUGGGUAAAGAAGCACCGGCUAACUACGUG